rnacentral:rRNA from 1 species
AACGAACGCUGGCGGCAUGCCUAACACAUGCAAGUCGAACGAGACCUUCGGGUCUAGUGGCGCACGGGUGCGUAACGCGUGGGAACCUGCCCUUAGGUUCGGACUAACUCCCCGACAGGGGUGCUAAUACCGGAUAAUGUCUUCGGACCAAAGAUUUAUCGCCUUUGGAUGGGCCCGCGUUGGAUUAGCUAGUUGGUAGGGUAAAAGCCUACCAAGGCGACGAUCCAUAGCUGGUCUAAGAGGAUGAUCAGCCACACUGGGACUGAGACACGGCCCAGACUCCUACGGGAGGCAGCAGUGGGUAAUAUUGGACAAUGGGCGAAAGCCUGAUCCAGCAAGGCCGCGUGAGUGAUGAAGGCCUUAGGGUUGUAAAGCGCUUUUAACCGGGAUGAUAAUGACAGUACCGGGAGAAUAAGCUCCGGCUAACUCCGUG